rnacentral:misc_RNA from 1 species
GAUGAAGAACGCAGCGAAAUGCGAUACUUGGUGUGAAUUGCAGAAUCCCGUGAACCAUCGAGUCUUUGAACGCAAGUUGCGCCCGAAGCCAUUAGGCCGAGGGCACGCCUGCCUGGGCGUCACACGACGUUGCCCCCCCAUCUACUCCUUCGGGAUUGCGGGGGGCGGAUGAUGGCCUCCCGUGCGCCUCGCCGCGCGGUUGGCAUAAAUGCCAAGGCCUCGGCGACGCACGCCACGACAAUCGGUGGUUGCGAAACCUCGGUUGCCCGUCGUGUGCGGUCGUCGCGCAUCGAGGGCUCGAAAAAAUUGCCGGGUUCCGGCUCGGCUUUCAACGCGACCCCAGGUCAGGCGGGGUUACCCGCUGAAUUUAAGCAUAUCAAUAAGCGGAGGA